AUCUAGCCCUGAUGGAAACGGCAUCCUUUUGCUUUUUCUUUAGAAGCAAAAGAUACAGUGAACAGCAGGACAAUAU
rnacentral:sRNA from 1 species